AAAUUUAUAGUAUCGUGGUCAGUAUAUGAGCUUCUCAUGGUCAUCAGUUGAUUCCGCUCGGGACCCAGGUUCAAUUCCUGGCGGGAGAG